UACAGAGGGUGCAAGCGUUGUUCGGAAUUAUUGGGCGUAAAGCGCGUGUAGGCGGCUUUGCAAGUCGGGUGUGAAAGCCCUCGGCUCAACCGAGGAAGUGCGCCCGAAACUGCAGAGCUUGAGUGCCGGAGAGGAUGGCGGAAUUCCCGGUGUAGAGGUGAAAUUCGUAGAUAUCGGGAGGAACACCAGCGGCGAAGGCGGCCAUCUGGACGGAUACUGACGCUGAGACGCGAAAGCGUGGGGAGCAAACAGG
rnacentral:rRNA from 1 species